UAUCACAGCCAUUUUGAUGAGUU
rnacentral:miRNA from 5 species